GGCGAGCGGGAAAGACUUCCCCAAAAGCCGGGGGUUCUGCGGUACCGGGCCGGGUCCGCGGGGCACCGAGUGAGGGACGUGGGACCCUGCGGAGUCUCCCCGUAAGGCGGACCAGCCUGCGGACCUCCCGCUAGUCACCUUUAUAAUCUAACGUGUACCUGGGAUUUCAGUGUAAUUACCGCCCGCGGUGUUGCUCUGCCUCUUUGGCAGCGGCGUUACCAAGGAUUUGGGAUUGGGAAAACAAGUUAAAUGGAAGUUUGUCACCAGGAAAUCUCCUGACUUAAAUUGGACAAAGGCAGGAAGAAAAACCCCGUGCUUUUUGUGUAGCUGCGUCAGCGUUGCCUUUCUGCGUACAACACUGACUGUACGCAUCACUGCUGUAACCAACGAGCAGGAAUAUGUGAAACAUCUUCUCUAGAAAGAAAGAUACCCUCAUUUUGGAUGAUUGUCCUCACAGUCUAAGAGAUCGAUUUUUGUGAUAAAAGAUUUUACCAUUGUUUGUGUCCGUAAGAGACAAAAAGGACUCACAGAACAAGCAUUUGGAAAAAGAAGCUUACACAGCUUGACAGCUCUUCAGCUUCUAUUAAUAAACAUCUCCAUACAAACGGUA